rnacentral:rRNA from 1 species
UACGUAGGGUGCAAGCGUUGUCCGGAAUUAUUGGGCGUAAAGAGCUCGUAGGCGGUUUGUCGCGUCUGCUGUGAAAAUCCAGGGCUUAACCCUGGACCUGCAGUGGGUACGGGCAGACUGGAGUGCGGUAGGGGAGAUCGGAAUUCCUGGUGUAGCGGUGAAAUGCGCAGAUAUCAGGAGGAACACCGGUGGUGAAGGCGGAUCUCUGGGCCGUAACUGACGCUGAGGAGCGAAAGCAUGGGGAGCGAACAGG